rnacentral:rRNA from 1 species
UACGAAGGGGGCUAGCGUUGUUCGGAUUUACUGGGCGUAAAGCGCACGUAGGCGGUUUGUUAAGUGAGAGGUGAAAUCCCAGAGCUCAACUCUGGAACUGCCUUUCAUACUGGCAAGCUAGAGUCCGGAAAGAGGUAAGUGGAACUCCUAGUGUAGAGGUGGAAUUCGUAGAUAUUAGGAAGAACACCAGUGGCGAAGGCGGCUUACUGGUCCGGAACUGACGCUGAGGUGCGAAACGUGGGG